rnacentral:rRNA from 1 species
GACGAACGCUGGCGGCGUGCCUAAUACAUGCAAGUAGAACGCUGAAGGAGGAGCUUGCUUCUCUGGAUGAGUUGCGAACGGGUGAGUAACGCGUAGGUAACCUGCCUGGUAGCGGGGGAUAACUAUUGGAAACGAUAGCUAAUACCGCAUAAUAGUAGAUGUUGCAUGACAUUUGCUUAAAAGGUGCAAUUGCAUCACUACCAGAUGGACCUGCGUUGUAUUAGCUAGUUGGUGGGGUAACGGCUCACCAAGGCGACGAUACAUAGCCGACCUGAGAGGGGGAUCGGCCACACUGGGACUGAGACACGGCCCAGACUCCUACGGGAGGCAGCAGUAGGGAAUCUUCGGCAAUGGACGGAAGUCUGACCGAGCAACGCCGCGGGAGUGAAGAAGGGUUUCGGAUCGUAAAGCUCUGUUGUAAGAGAAGAACGAGUGUGAGAGUGGAAAGUUCACACUGUGACGGUAUCUUAACAGAAAGGGACGGCUAACUACGUG